GAUGAACGCUAGCGGCAGGCCUAACACAUGCAAGUCGAGGGAGAGGUUAUCUUCGGGUAACCAAAACCGGCGCACGGGUGCGUAACGCGUAUACAAUCUGCCUUUCACAUAGGGAUAGCCCGAAGAAAUUUGGAUUAAUACCUAAUGGUAUAUAAGAGCGGCAUCGUUUUUAUAUUAAAGCUACGGUGGUGAAAGAUGAGUAUGCGUUCUAUUAGCUAGUUGGAGAGGUAACGGCUCCCCAAGGCGACGAUAGAUAGGGGUUCUGAGAGGGAUGUCCCCCACACUGGUACUGAGAUACGGACCAGACUCCUACGGGAGGCAGCAGUGAGGAAUAUUGGACAAUGGUCGGAAGACUGAUCCAGCCAUGCCGCGUGCAGGAUGAAGGUCCUAUGGAUUGUAAACUGCUUUUGUAAGGGAAGAAUAAGGAGUACGUGUACUUUGAUGACGGUACCUUACGAAUAAGCAUCGGCUAACUCCGUGCCAGCAGCCGCGGUAAUACGGAGGAUGCGAGCGUUAUCCGGAAUCAUUGGGUUUAAAGGGUCCGUAGGCGGGCUGAUAAGUCAGAGGUGAAAGCGCUUAGCUCAACUAAGCAACUGCCUUUGAGACUGUCAGUCUUGAAUGAUUGUGAAGUAGUUGGAAUGUGUAGUGUAGCGGUGAAAUGCUUAGAUAUUACACAGAACACCGAUAGCGAAGGCAUAUUACUAACAAUUUAUUGACGCUGAUGGACGAAAGCGUGGGGAGCGAACAGG
rnacentral:rRNA from 1 species